rnacentral:rRNA from 1 species
UACGUAGGGGGCUGGCGUUGUCCGGAAUCAUUGGGCGUAAAGCGCGUGUAGGCGGUUCGGUAAGUCCGCUGUGAAAGUCGGGGGCUCAACCCUCGGAUGCCGGUGGAUACUGUCGAGCUUGAGUACGGAAGAGGCGAGUGGAAUUCCUGGUGUAGCGGUGAAAUGCGCAGAUAUCAGGAGGAACACCAAUUGCGAAGGCAGCUCGCUGGGACGUUACUGACGCUGAGACGCGAAAGCGUGGGGAGCAAACAGG